GUGCUCACUUUGGCAGAUUUACUAAAUGGAAUGAUACACAAAAGAUUAGCAUGGUACCUUUGCAAAGAUGGCACAUAAAUUCAAUCCUUAUUACUAUUUUUU